rnacentral:rRNA from 1 species
CCUACGUGUGGCUGCAGUGGGGGAUAUUGCACAAUGGGGGGAACCCUGAUGCAGCGACGCCGCGUGGGUGAAGGAGCGUUUCGGCGCGUAAAGCCCUAUCGGCAGGGAAGAAGAAGACGGUACCUGGCCAAGCAGCCCCGGCUAACUACGUGCCAGCAGCCGCGGUACUACGUAGGUGGCAAGCGUGUACCGGAUUUACUUGGUGGAAGGGGGGCGCAGACGGCAAUGCAAGCCAGGAGUGAAAGCCCGGGGCCCAACCCCGGGACUGCCCUUGGAACUGCAUGGCUGGAGUACAGGAGGGGUAGGAGGAAUUCCUAGUGUAGCGGUGAAAUGCGUUGAUAUUAGGCGGAACACCGGUGGCGAAGGCGGCCUGCUGGACUGUGACUGACGUUGAGGCCCGAAGGCGUGGGGAGCAAACAGGAUUAGAUACCCGGGUAGUC